AGAGUUUGAUUAUGGCUCAGGAUGAACGCUAGCUACAGGCUUAACACAUGCAAGUCGAGGGGCAGCAUUGGAGUAGCAAUACUCAGAUGGCGACCGGCGCACGGGUGAGUAACACGUAUCCAACCUGCCGCGUUACUCGGGGAUAGCCUUUCGAAAGAAAGAUUAAUACCCGAUGGUAUAAAGAGUUCGCAUGUUCUCUUUAUUAAAGAAUUUCGGUAAGCGAUGGGGAUGCGUUCCAUUAGAUAGUUGGCGGGGUAACGGCCCACCAAGUCUACGAUGGAUAGGGGUUCUGAGAGGAAGGUCCCCCCACAUUGGAACUGAGACACGGUCCAAACUCCUACGGGAGGCAGCAGUGAGGAAUAUUGGUCAAUGGACGAGAGUCUGAACCAGCCAAGUAGCGUGAAGGAUGACUGCCCUAUGGGUUGUAAACUUCUUUUAUAAGGGAAUAAAGUGAGGGACGUGUCCCUUUUUGUAUGUACCUUAUGAAUAAGGAUCGGCUAACUCCGUGCCAGCAGCUGC
rnacentral:rRNA from 1 species